rnacentral:rRNA from 1 species
UACGAAGGGGGCUAGCGUUGCUCGGAAUCACUGGGCGUAAAGGGUGCGUAGGCGGGUCUUUAAGUCAGGGGUGAAAUCCUGGAGCUCAACUCCAGAACUGCCUUUGAUACUGAAGAUCUUGAGUUCGGGAGAGGUGAGUGGAACUGCGAGUGUAGAGGUGAAAUUCGUAGAUAUUCGCAAGAACACCAGUGGCGAAGGCGGCUCACUGGCCCGUAACUGACGCUGAGGUGCGAAAGCGUGGGGAGCAAACAGGG